CUGAUUGUCCAGGCAAAUCCGGAUAAUCAAGGCUGAGGUGUGAUGACGAGGCACUACGGUGCUGAAGUAACAAAUGCCCUGCUUCCAGGAAAAGCCUCUAAGCAUCAGGUAACAUCAAAUCGUACCCCAAACCGACACAGGUGGUCAGGUAGAGAAUACCAAGGCGCUUGAGAGAACUCGGGUGAAGGAACUAGGCAAAAUGGUGCCGUAACUUCGGGAGAAGGCACGCUGGUGUGUAGGUGAAGCCCCUGCGGGUGGAGCUGAGACCAGUCGAAGAUACCAGCUGGCUGCAACUGUUUAUUAAAAACACAGCACUGUGCAAACACGAAAGUGGACGUAUACGGUGUGACGCCUGCCCGGUGCCGGAAGGUUAAUUGAUGGGGUUAUCCGUAAGGAGAAGCUCUUGAUCGAAGCCCCGGUAAACGGCGGCCGUAACUAUAACGGUCCUAAGGUAGCGAAAUUCCUUGUCGGGUAAGUUCCGACCUGCACGAAUGGCGUAAUGAUGGCCAGGCUGUCUCCACCCGAGACUCAGUGAAAUUGAACUCGCUGUGAAGAUGCAGUGUACCCGCGGCAAGACGGAAAGACCCCGUGAACCUUUACUAUAGCUUGACACUGAACAUUGAGCCUUGAUGUGUAGGAUAGGUGGGAGGCUUUGAAGCGUGGACGCCAGUCUGCGUGGAGCCAACCUUGAAAUACCACCCUUUAAUGUUUGAUGUUCUAACGUUGGCCCCUGACCGGGGUUGCGGACAGUGUCUGGUGGGUAGUUUGACUGGGGCGGUCUCCUCCCAAAGCGUAACGGAGGAGCACGAAGGUUAGCUAAUCCUGGUCGGACAUCAGGAGGUUAGUGCAAUGGCAUAAGCUAGCUUGACUGCGAGCGUGACGGCGCGAGCAGGUGCGAAAGCAGGUCAUAGUGAUCCGGUGGUUCUGAAUGGAAGGGCCAUCGCUCAACGGAUAAAAGGUACUCCGGGGAUAACAGGCUGAUACCGCCCAAGAGUUCAUAUCGACGGCGGUGUUUGGCACCUCGAUGUCGGCUCAUCACAUCCUGGGGCUGAAGUAGGUCCCAAGGGUAUGGCUGUUCGCCAUUUAAAGUGGUACGCGAGCUGGGUUUAGAACGUCGUGAGACAGUUCGGUCCCUAUCUGCCGUGGGCGCUGGAGAAUUGAGGGGGGCUGCUCCUAGUACGAGAGGACCGGAGUGGACGCAUCACUGGUGUUCGGGUUGUCAUGCCAAUGGCACUGCCCGGUAGCUAAAUGCGGAAGAGAUAAGUGCUGAAAGCAUCUAAGCACGAAACUUGCCCCGAGAUGAGUUCUCCCUGAGACUUUAAGUCUCCUGAAGGAACGUUGAAGACGACGACGUUGAUAGGCCGGGUGUGUAAGCGCAGCGAUGCGUUGAGCUAACCGGUACUAAUGAACCGUGAGGCUUAACCUU
rnacentral:rRNA from 1 species